UGUAAGAGAAAGUGAUACCAAAAAGACAAAAAAACACUACAAAAGUACUUGUCAUUUGGACUAAAAUGAAUUAAUCUUGAAUAAGAAUUUAUCUGCAUUUUGUGGGAGUGUAUUUUUGUGUACAAAUAUCUGCCUGUGUUUGUGCAUGUGUAGGUAACAAAAAAUAGAGAUUUUAAGGGAGACAGAAGAGUAUACAAAUCAUGGCAGCAGUCGGUCAGUUUCCUGGCUGGAAGAGACUUGUAGAAACAAUCAUUUCCCAAGUCAAACUUCUCUUAGAAGACGAUUCCCCAAGCUGCAGUAGAAUCUUCCCAGCAGAGAGGAAGAUGUGGUUCAGCAUUUCACAGAACGUUCAAUCCUGCUUCAGGGAAUGGAGUCCAGCACAUAUUUGAAGUGUGGGAAGGAGAUAGGAUGAUAUGGGAUGGUAUUACAGAGUUCAGCUUGAACACUGUCACUUUAAAACUAUAAUAAAAUAAG
rnacentral:lncRNA from 1 species